rnacentral:lncRNA from 1 species
CUGGAGUGUAGUGGUGCAAUCACAGCUCACUGGAUCUUUGAAUCCCUGGGCUCAAGAGAUCUUCCCGUCUCAGCUAUCGGAGUAGCUGGGGCUACAGGUUUGAAUCUGGACAAGCCUGAAUGCAAAGAUAUCCAAUAUUAAUGGGAACAUUGCAGAGAAACCAAGGCUGGGAGGAAUUGGGAGGCAGAAGAGAGCUUUCCUCUCAAGGCGUCAGUGUCUCAUGGUCUCAACCUGGUGGUCUCCUAGUCUCAUGGAUUUUGAAGUUAAGAAGACUCAACAUCUCACAGUCUUAAAGUCUUCAGGUGGCAAAAUAACACAUCUUUUGAUUGACUGUAUGAAAUUGAUCAGCCUUUCACGCACAUAUCACCCUCACGUCCCCGCAGAAGGAAGGUCAUCUUCCCUUGGUUGGUGGGAAAUGCAUGUGUGUGUGCAUUUGCACGUGUGUGUGUGUGUGUGCAUGUAUUGCAUAUUUUCUACUUUAUCCAUGGCUUCUACUUCAAAAAUACACACAGCAUAUAAUAAAAGGUUAAGAGUUAUGCACCUUUGCAAAAGAGACCAAUAAUCAAGAGGAAAAAAGCAAACAGAAACAAACUUUUAGAUGACACAGAUGUUGGAAUUCUUUGACAAAGAUUUUGAAAUAACUACAAUAUGUCAUAGAAUCUAUUCAUUAGGAAGAAAGAUGCACCAGUUAAAAAGGUAGAGAACCUCAGGAGAUAUUUAAAAAUUAUAAAAAUAAAAUUAUUUGAAACUUUUAGAAUUGAAAUUUCAUAUCUGACAUUUCUUGAUUAUUGAAUUAAAAAACUGAAACUGAAGCUAUAAAAUUAAAAAAAGAAAAAUUUUAUGAUCUUGGCUUACGUAAAGAUUUCUUAGAUACAAGACUGAAAGCAAAAUCCAUAAGAGAAAAAAUUGAUAAAUUGGAUUUUACUGAGAUUUAACAAAUGCACUUCAACAGACACUGUUAAGAAAACAAAAAGACAAACCACACACUGGGAAAAAAUAUUUGCACAGCACAUAUCAACAAAGAACUUGUACCUAGAUUAUAAAAAUAAUUCUCAAAAUAAAAUAACAAUAGAAAGGGCAAACUAUUUAAACAGACUCGUCCCCAAAUAAGACAUGUCCAUAGCAAAUAAACAUAUGAAAAUAUGCUGAAACAUUAUUAGUUUUAAAGAAAAUGCAAAUUAAAUGGCAAUCCAGUACCACUGUACUAGAAUGGGUAAUUCUAACUAAAAUGAUUAAAUUAAAUUAAAUUAAAGUGGUUGACCACACCAAUGACUGACAAUAAUGUGUGGGUCAAUUGAAACUAUCAUAUGUUGCUUUUGGG